rnacentral:lncRNA from 1 species
UCAAAAACUCAAACAAUUGAAAUCUUUAAAGAGUUAAAAGUGCAUUUAUAUUUAAUUAUUUUGAUACACAUAUAUGUGUCUCUUAUUUUUUUCAUUUCAUAAUGAUUUUUAGAAGGUUAACCACAACUGCUUCUGUAACUGCUUCAAGUCAUCAACGAAGGAGCCUUAUAGAUCUAGAAUUCAUUAGAAUAAUAUAAUUAAAUAACAAUAUAUAUAUAUAUAUAUAUAUAUAUAUAUAUAUAUAUAUAUAUAUAUUAUAAAUGAUGAAAGUGAGUGAGAAGAAUGGAGACACGAAGGAAAGAAAAUUCUAAAUUAUUAUAAAAAAUAUGAAAAAUGAAGACAUAUUUGAAAUAAUUUAUAUAGAUUAACAACAUAAAUUAAAAAAUGAAAAGUGGAAUUGAGAAGUUAAAAAUGUCAACCUAUAUAAUUGACUUUACACUUACAAUCUACUUUUUUUUAAUAUUUGUAAAUAAGAUAAUGAAUAAAAACUGAUAAUUAAAUAUGAAAAAAAAGGAAACCCAUGCUUGUUUUUACGUUACCAAAAUAUAUCUUUUUGACGGAAAAAAAAAAAGAUAAUGUGAAAGUUAUAAAAUAAAACAUAUAAUAACCUUAUAACUCGGAAGUUUGAGAGUUAUAAGAUAAAACAAAUAAUAACAAUAAAUCUUGAGGAAUACAAAGAGCUUUAAAUCUAGUAAUUAAAUUUAGAGUUGUAUUUGAAGUUAAUGAAUCUCUACUCAUACAACAAAAUCAACAAUAUUAAAAAAACUCAAAAUAUAGUUAAGCUAAGUACAAACCUCUGGUAUUCCACAAGCUCUAUUGAUUUCUUGUCAUCACUAAAAUCUGCAUACAAAUAUAUAAUAAGAGGAGACACAGAAGACAUGAGUAGAUCUUACAUCAUGUAAAAUGAAUGAAUAAGUCAAAAAUAGAUGACCAUGCAUUCAUGAAACAUAUUUAGCAUGAUCACAAAAAUCACGACAAUAUAAUAUCACAUGAUAUAAAUGGAUGAUCUUUCAAUGGUCAAAAUGCACUCCUUGAAAUUCAUGUGGUGCCAAACUAAUGUAGGAAAACUUGUAUGGAGAGGUUAUGCUUUAUGUCAUAUGCAAAUUGCAACACCCCUCUAGAUUAUAUGUAUUGUGUGCAAUCUCGCAAAGAUAAUACUAUCAAGUAAUCAGUCAAUAUAGUAUAUAGUUGUACGAAGACAUCCUAUAGACAACAUCCCAAAGUGUAAAACUCAAUAAAUCACUCUCCUCCCAUGAAGUCUAAACUUAACUUCUAAGUUUUUUAGAUGAUAUAUCAAACACCUAAGUCUUAAUAAUUUUUUUAUAUGAUUCUAAAGCUAUUAAGGAAAUUGAAAGUUCGAAAGAAUUAUAUAAAAAAUAUGAGAAAAAUCAUAUAUAAGAAAAACAACAUUACGAUGAGUAAAGAAAAUUAAAGGCUUUAAUAUAACAGAGAAAUGAGUUUCAACUUAGGUGUUACCUAUGACAUUUACAAAAACCCCUAAUGCAAAGCUUGACUUGCCUGUGGUUAGAAAUGGGACACAAAUAUAUUUCACAAUCAUCGCGUGACCUACAAUUAUGUUCUGCUGUAAUAUAAAAUACAAAUAAAGAAAUGUUAUUUAAAAAUGAUAGAAGAUUUUGUAUAACAUGAAAAUGUGAGAAUGAACUUACCACUAGCAGUGAUUAAAAGAAGAAAUAGGGACACUAGAAGAAUCAUAGUGUAAACAACCUUGAGAGUUUUAGCCAUUUUGUUCUACCUUUUUAUCUGACAAGUAGAGAAUUAUUUGAUCACCUUAUAAUAAAAACCUAAUGUUAUGUUUACUUCAAUUAAAAAGUUUUUAGGAGUUAUGUUAAUGCAAGAAACCCUUCAUUACAAUAAUUAAUAAGUGACUCUAAUGUACGUCGAUGAAUCAUGUUUGUCCCUUCAACAAAUGAAAUUGAUCACUUGACCUUAGAAUAGAUCUUCAUAUAAAAAUAUUAUUUGUAAUUAGAGUUCAUUCUUGUUUUUUUUUUUCUUAUUUUUCCUUUCGUACUAUAAUGAGGACCAAAAGAAACAUUAUACUUCAAUUAAAUACAUAUUAGGACACAUUGAACUAAACCAAAAACCCUUUCUAUAUUUAAAUCAUU